GGGCUCGUGGUUUAGUGGUAUAAUUCUCCCUUAGCAACUCUAACUAAGUUGGGAGCGGUCCGGGGUUCGAUUCCCCGCGAGUCCA